ACAAGAAUAUUGCCCGCACCUGAAAAUAAACGUGCAGAAAGUUUCUUCACUUCCGCGUCCACGCAAAAAGCAGGGGCGGAUCUGUCUCAUGUGGCGUGUCAACAGUCAUCCUGAUCCCACGUAUUGCUGAACUAGUGGCGAGCCCAGGUGUCAAGAACCACUUAUCCGGAUUUCGCCUGCACCUUCAUCCCGGUGUUUGGCUUCCCCAAGUCAACAAAUGGCGUUCAUAAGAAGCUAACUGAUGUUAUCAAAAGGCUGAUGGAUGCAGCAUUUGACAGACAGGCAGACAUGAAUAAACAUGAAGUCAGCAGCCAGCCUCGUGAAGACUCGCAGGCGUCAAAUCGUACCUUAACAGAAGACGAAGAUGAAGAGGAAACAGGAGGAGGACAAACCGAAGACAUUUUGUGGAGCCAUUUGGCUCUUCAGGUGGACUGGGCCGGCUUGCUCAUAUUUUGGCUACAAGAGAGCAGAACCCUUCUGAAGAUUCCCCCCCGAAAAUGACCCGGCGGUGGAAAAGCGCCUACAGGAGAAAUGAUGACCAGGCGUUGGCAGAUCAGUGUCCGCUUCCGUUCCAGCGUCUCCGGGUAUGUGCGUUCAUCCUCCGAUGUAGUUUCAUUUGACGGAAGCGGGGAAAAAAAAGUCAAAAGGAAGAA